rnacentral:sRNA from 1 species
GUUAUACAAGAGCACAGGCUCAGGGUUUGCAGUUUUAGUACCGGCAUCUGUCCCCUGGCAUCGGUAAAAUGUAGCCGUCACUGCCAACCAGUGAUGUUAAUAAUAAACCAGCGGUGCAGUUUUGUCAGCGGCAACCUUAGAAUAAAAUUCCUCAGCUCGCCUCUAGGCAGAGCCCUGAGUGACCACGUUAUCUUUGCGAAUCAGCUGUUAGAGAAUCGUGGCUCAAUGUCUCAUAGGGCUAGAGCAAUAAAUUCUUUUGAUGUCAGUCAUCAGGACUGUCGAAGGUCAGGUUUCUGUGAACCAUGGGAGAUGGAGUUCUUUCAAGAAGGGAAAAGGAGAGAUCAGCAAGUUCACGGGGUUCAUCCUACAGCGCCUGUCAAGAGGCACAAGGGGUGAUCUACGCCAGGUGCCUUUCUACCACAGAGGGCCGUAUGUAUGCUUUUAGGAACAGAUGUAGCCAACAGCAGGGACAUUUCCUUCACAGUCAUAUUCUAAUGCAUAACAACAUAUAAUUAUCAUACAGUACCUAAAUACUAAGAGAAGCAAUGUCCCUAGAAAAUGUAAGGUAAACAGAAAUCGAAUAGGGAAGGUCUGUUUAGCUGUUGUGACUUUUUAAGUUGCUGGUCUAGUUGCAUAUCUGCAAAGCGUAGGGAAGGGAGCUUUCAGGUUGGGAGACGAGGCAGGGGAUAAAGGACUCACACGGGCUAAGGGUGAGUACAUCCUAGAGAGUGAAAAAGCCAAGCAUAGAGCGUGGUUAGAUUCCAAGGGAACUGAAUGUCAGUGCUGAGGCCAGAGAAGAGGAUGAGGGAGGGCUCUGCCUGUCUCUCAUGCCUGCCACCUUGAGCUGCUUUUCUGACGGUCUUGGACAACAAGACGUGCUACAGAGUAGAAAGGUUGUCUUCGAGAUAUGUGUUGAGUACCGGGAGCUCAGCUAAUAAUCACAGAAGUCAAAGUGUGGGCAAUAGUGCAAGACGUGAGUUUGAAAAUGAUCAAGGCAUGCCACGGCUGGACCUAGACACAACUGCUGGGGUGACACCUCUGGGUCACUUCCAAGUAGAACGAGGUCAAUGUGUGUUGCCAGAAAUGGAGAGGACGGAUGUAGGGAACCGAACCGGAUCUAUGCACCGCCAUUCAGAGCUGCCAGACUUGCCAACUGAGAAUGCAGAGGACACCGUUAAAUUUCUAUCUCAGGCAAAUGAAUAUUUGUAAAAUAUGUUAAGUAUGAUUCAUGCAAUUUGUAGCACCACUGUGUAACUUUAUAAGGUAUUUAAUUGUUAAAUUAUGUCUGUGAGCAUUCCAAGAUUUCUUUACUCAUUAAGACCGGGUCAUGAAUUAGUGAUAAUUAGUAAUUAGACUUACAUUUGGUGUUAGCUCCCUAUCUAAUAGCUAUUCACCCUUUCCCAUGCUUUCCCUCACGCUGUUAUCUUUCCUCUCCGAUAUCUCAUUUUUACAUAGAACACUCUGCCAAGGACACUAAUUAUACUCUUUGGGAUUAUCAUAUAUUUGAGAAUUCCUUAUACAUAUUUAAGCACUUGAUUUAUUGCUAAAUAUUUACUCUGUAAGUUUGACAUGAUAAACAAAACAACUCGGAACCAAUUAUUGCAAGUUUCUCUAAAUGCAUCCUCCAUGCAAGGGAUAUUAGGGUGUUUGGGAGCCCCUGGGACAAAGUGAUGCACGUUUAAAUCCUGAACAAAUGCACUAAUCAGUCACCUCAGACAAGGUUCUAACUCAUGGUGCCUCUUCUAAAGGCCUUCCUCUUGAGGAAGUACUCAGAAGUGCAGUUUCUCUUACAGCUAAGUGCUUAAUCAUUGGAAAAUCACUUACGAUGCCAGAGGAGAUUGGGGUCAAGUGCCUGAGGGCAACCCUGUCUCCUUAGCUUCCACUUCCUUCUUCCUAGUCAUUGCCACUUGGAGCUAAGUGGACAAAAAUCUUUUAGUCCUUUUAACCGAUACAAGGUAGACGUCUCUCUCUUAAAUUUAAAAAAUAGAGGAAGGAGGAAAAAGGAGAAGAAAAGGAGGAAGAGGAGGAAAAGAAGGCGGAGGAGUAAGAACAAGAAGGAGACGGAGAAAUGGAAGAGGAAUAGGAGUCAGGAGGAGGGAAAAGAAGAGGAGAAAAUAAAGCAACCACGUAAUUAUAGGGUCCUUCCCAUGAUCUUCAAAAGCAAGUAUUUUCACCUUAGUUUGCAGGAACGCAGCAAAUAAGAUGGCCUACUACACAGAGCCAAUGUGUGACAGAAGAUGAACAGAAACCCAGGAUUAUCUUCACUACUGAAACUUUGUCAUGCUUUAAAUUCCACCGAUGAUAUGGAAAUGACAUAAGACAUACCAAGUCAGCAUUGCGUGCCUGGGAAGUAAGAACAGCUCGUUGGCGUCCUGGAAAGCCUGGUGGGUCCACACUCUAGGUACCUGUACCAUCCAGGGAUGGUGAAGACGGACCCCCGAGAGCUCUUACAUACAAAGUGAAUCCGGAGACAACCAGAAGCAACUUUACAACGAUCAGAAGACAAUAAGACCGGAAAGAGAAAACUGACUCUCUGUUGGCUUUCAUGGCAGCUGGGGACAAGACCCAAGCCACAAGAAUUAGUAGAAGCAGAUGAAGGUUUAUCCUGUCCUGUACCCAUUACUCCAAAGAAAAAAAAUUGCCAAAACAAACAAAAACAAGCAAAAAUUGUCAAUAAAACAGAGGUUCCCAACUAAUCCUACUUGCAUGAUGCCUCAUCUUCUCAAAGAUAUUUAUAAUUAUAAAUUGUUAAUCUGUGAAGAAAGAAUUCCAUUUCCCCCAACUAAGCUGACUCACAGAAUUUUCUAAUUGAGGCAGCUUUGCCCGCCAUACCCACACAUUGCUAACCCGGAUCAUUCAAUAGCAGUUCCUGGUGUCCUUAUCAAAUCCAUGUAGCAGUUUCCCAAAGGAGCUUCUAGGUCCAGUGAAACUACUGGUAAUUAAGCAUUCUAACUUCGCGGACUUAACAGAACUCAAGAAAUAGUUUAAAUGCUCACUUAAAUUAUAUUAUGUACAGACUCACAGAGCAAUAACUAAGUUUUAUGCUCGAGAGCAUUACAUACUUUAUUUUAUCCCUUCAAGAUGUUAAUUGAGGGUGGGUGCUAUGAAGACUAGAGUGCAAUGCCCAGAAUCCAUUUAUAAAGGGGAGAGAGAAAAGGCCUAGGCAUAAGGGCUUGUGCUAAUUAAUAAUCUUGGUACUGGAGUAGCAAAGAGAGGUGGACCCCUGGGUCUUGCUGAACAGCCAGCCCAGUCAGCUUUAUUUUCCAGGCCAAUGAGAGACUGUCUUUUAAAAAAAAAUGAGGGGCUAGAGAAGUGCAUAGGCGGUUAAAAGCGCUUGCUGCCUUUCCAGAGUACCUGGGUGUGGUUCCCAGCACUCACAACCAUCCCAAGGCAGCUCACAACCAUCUGUGACUCCAGAUCCAGGAGAGUAAACACCUCGCUGGCCCCUGUGAGCACUAGGCAAGCAUCUGAACACGGACAUACAUGCAGGCAAAACACCCAGACAGAUAAAAUUAACAAUGAAAAUAAACAUUACAACAACAACAACAAAAACCAAGGUCAAUGGCCCUGAGGCGAGUUAUCUGAGGUCAUUCUCCGGCUGCUCCACACAUAGGCAUCCAUGCACACCCAAGUACGCAUACAGGAAAGCAAGUUCCCGGAAGACACCUCAAUUCACGUACUUAAGAUCCAAGCACUCAACUUGGACUCUCCAGGCCAUAUAAAUUAUUUUCAAACCAAGGAGAAAUUAGAGUUAAAUGUUCUGCUCUCAAAUGUUCCCCCAGAGAAUCUAUGAGGGGCAGCAUCUAGAAACAAUAAAGAGGCUGGAGUUAGCAGAAGUCCUUGUGCUUUCCUUUGCACGGGGAACAAGAGCGAGUCUAAUACUGUCUCGUAAGGGAUGCCACCUCCUUCAAGAAACAACCUUUUCUCUCCCUCUCUCCUUCUUCCUCUCCCUUCUCUUGUGUGAGUCUUGUCCUUGGCAUGCAAUGAAGAGUUGUGAACUGUGAAUGCCAUGGUUCCCUGCCCCCUUUCCACUCGCAUAGGGGUUGGUAGGAAAAAUAAUGCUGUAAAGCCAAUAGCAAUGGCUUGUGUGAAUGGCUCCCCUUUGACCCACACCACCACAGCUUGACUGACACAGAGCACACCAAGAGACGGUGAUGAUAAAGGAAGGUUGGAAUGAUAUCUAAUCUCCAGGACAUUAUUAGAGAUUGGGGAGGCAAGCAAUUAUAUGUGCUAGGAGUCAGUUUGGGACACCUGUCACUGAUAUCUCCAGUUGGACAUUCUGCUUCAUAAAUGGCCAUAAACGGAAACCACGCAAUAAUGCUUUCAAGGGAAUGAAAGUCAGCUGGAGCCAGCAAAUAACAGCAUUGUGUCACUGGGCAUUGCUUCAAUUGCAUCCAAAGUCUGAACAGUAAAGUCCUCAAAUGAGCUCACUGGUUGUCCUUCGAAGCCGGUGGCUUUUGUUAAUGUCUCUGCUCGCCAUGCCCCAUGGCCUGGCCUCUCAGCUCGCAUAGUAUUAGAUGUAGGGAGAGGUGGUCAUGUCUGGUUUUGCGCAAUAAUUGAAUUUAUAAGCACGCCCAGCAGAAGUCUGCCUGAGUCAAAUGCACUAACCCAGAGGUGAACCAAAGUUUGAAAGCUCAGUUCAAAGGAACGAAAGGACCGUGGUUGCUGUUCGAGAAUGUGUGUUAAGAGACGACGGGGGGGGGGGGGGGG